UGGCCGUAGCUCCCGCACAGGGGUCUGAAAGAGCGCCUGGACUCGCUGUAGCCACGAAGCCAGCCUUCCCUUUGUCUCUGGAGCCAGCUGCGUCUGCCGUGGGUCUGGAGCGCAGGACACAGAGAAAGGGUCACCCCGGGGCUGAUUUCGCAUGACUUACAAUGACAGAAGAGCCCUCAGUGCCUUGAAGGGAACCCCAGUCUGGGAAGCCCACCCUAGACAGUCCCCUGGCCGCAGCCCCUCACCUUCCAGCUCUGAAAGCGUGGGCCCCAGUUGCUCGUCCUGCCAGGGGUCUCAGGGAGCUCCUGGAUGGGCUCUAGCCGUGAAGCCGGCCCUCCCCGUGUCUCUGGAGCCAGCUGCCUCUGCCGUGGGUCUGGAGCGGGACACAGAGAAAGGGUCACCGUGGGCCUGAUUCCCCGCGCCUUACAAUGACAGAAGAGCCCUCAGUGCCUUGAAGGGAACCCCAGUCCGGGAAGCCCACCCUAGACGGUCCCCUGGCUGCAGCCCCUCACCUUCCAGCACCGCCACCGUGGGCCCCAGGUGCUCCUCCUGGACCAAGUGGUGGAGGACUUGGCCCACCAGGGUGGAUGAAGGCUGGCUGCCGUGGAGGUCGCUGGGCACGCUCUCAGGCUCCCAGGCAAGGCGCCUAGCCCGUCCCAUCCUGCGGCUGGGGUAAGGCCUGGGGGUGGCAGAGUGAGAAGCCUGGUCUUUCCAGCCACACUGCCCUCCGGGUCCACCCUUGUGUGGGCCUGGCCGCUGUGCACUCCCCUGCCUGUCCAGGCACCUGCCCCUCCCCCUUCCUGACCCUGCGUGUCUGUCCUGGGACCCCAUCCUCUCCCAUCCUCCCGAAUAGGAAGUCCCCAGUCGUCAGCCCACCCAUGGGAACCCAAAGAUGAGUGACCUGCUGGGCUCUGCUGUGCUCCCCCAACCCCAAGCCCCAAACUCCUCCUCCCCCCAUUCUGUGAGAUGGGCAGCACCUCCUCUGGACCCAGUGAACGCUCACAUUUUCAAUUCCCCCUCUGGCCCCUCGUCAUGCCCCCUGUUGCUUGAGGAGGCCGUGACGGCAUCAGUCGUGACACUCCCUGGCCGUGACCUGCGGAUGAUGCCUGAAGUGACUGCCCGAGUCCACCCGGGAUGGGGUCCCAGUAUUGUGUCUGCUUCCUUCACUCAGUUGUGCUAAGUGUCCCCAAAGGGUCUGCACAAAGUGGGCACUGCGUACCUAUUGUUGCUUAAGGAAGUCCUACCAGAACUUCUCCAGGUACCCCUCUCCUGCCCCCAGAGGUCCCUCAUGUGGCGACAGUGAGGACAAGGACCCGGCCCAAACACAGGGAAUCGCGAGCCUCCGUUCCAAAGGCUGCUUCCCAUGUGCUUUUCCAAAUGAGCCAGGCUCCAGGCCACUGACGGGUGAGGCCAAAGGCUUUCAUCGGGUACAGAGAAGUAAGCCCCGAAGUGGCCCAGCUUGGCCGGCAGUCCUUUACCAUGCCGGGCACCAGGGGAACCCCUCUAAGGCUCCUCCCAUGUUCCCCAUGGGCACCCUAACAGGCUGAUCGCCAGCCUCCCUGCCUGUCAGAGGAGCACGCUGAGGCUCAGACACGUGGGGACACGCAAGACACACCGCGGGCUGUGGGCAGAGGCCCGACUGGCCAAGGAGGGGUUGGGUGCUCACCGGGGGAGCCGCUGGCCCGUGGUCAGCUGGUCAGCAUCAUCGGGUGGGAGUGUGGCCUCGGGAGCGCUCCGGCUGGUGUUUGGAGCUGGUUCCACUCGUGCCUUUCGCUUUCUCCACUUCCUCCUCACACCUAUCCAGGGAUCCCUGCACUUGCGGACCUCAGUCCCAUGGACAGAUGGCUCAGGUUCAGGCUAAGGGGGGAAACAGGGAUAUAGUCAGUGGGAAACCCAGGAAUCACCAGGACGAGGCAGGUUUGCAGCUCACCCGAGAGCCCCCAGCCCCCUGGGGUGCGAGCAAGGAGAGGCACGGGGUGCCCCCGGGAACAAGGUUCCAGGCCCUCUGGAGUGGUCCUGUCAGCCACUCUCGUGGGGAAGCCCUGGGAGGGAAGGGAUCCUGGGUGUAGACAGCCUGCCCCAGGUCCAGGGAGAUGGAGUAGGUGAAUCCAUCCACCAGCUCCUCCACGCUCCCCAGGGUGGGGCUCUGCAAAGCCGGCACCUGGUAGCUGGGGAGGAGGCACCCAUGGUUGCGUGGACCUCCCCACAGGGGGCAAUGUGGGCCCCCAACUCUGCCCCCGAGAUCAGGCCCACAGGGCCAUCUGCAUAGACAUCCAGUCCCUCAGGGAAGAGGAGGACACCCCUGGGCUCAGGAUUAACAUGUGGGUGGAAGUACCUGGUCCCAACACUCACCUCCAUGUCCUGAAUCAUGAGACCAGAGCUGUGACACUGACUGCCCCCUGCUCCCCAGCCUUCAGUCCCACCCAUGCCCCAUGCCCACCGCACACACACAAGGGGCCUGGGGAAACGUCAGCCAGGAUGGGUCACACUCGUGGCCUGGCCCUGGAAUGGCCCGCUCUGGGCUGCCCUGUGUUACCUCGGGGCUCCUCGGGAUACACGGAUAGAGGCGUUGGAGGAGGUCACUGAGCCAACGCCCACAGCGAGCAGGAAGACUCUCCCUCUCGGCUUCCCUGACUCCCUCGCUUUCAGAAGGCUCCGCACAACAAGACCGCAUGUUGCUCUGUCGAGCGCCUCCGGUCAAGUGAGCUGGACUGGGUUCUGCGACCAGGAGCUGGGUUCCAUCCGUCCGGGUCACAAUUGAGGUUCUACUUGGCAUGUCAUCAGUGACAUCACUUCUUCAAGGGCCCCUCCCUGCAUUCAGACACGCCCACGUGCCCCUCUGGGCUGCUGACUGCCCCCCCUCCUGGCCCUUGGCAUGCAUGAGUACACACAUCUCCACCAGAGCCCUCCCCACGCUCUCUGGCAAUGUCACCGGGGUCCCAGCUCUGAGGAGACAAGAGCUGAGCUCAGUCCGCUUUUUCUCACUAGUUCCCUGUCCUGCUGAGGCCACAGCACCUCCCAGGACCUGCCCAACAUCCCAACCUGCACAGGGAGGGUCACGCCAGACAUUUCUCCCUAAGGACAUCCCCAGGGAUACAUGGAUGACACCUCCAGCUCCUGGGGACUGGCGUCACAUGUGUCUGACACACAGACUCAGAGAUGGAAGAAUGCCAACCAGGCUUGGCAUGGAGCAUGGAACACCACGCAGGUCAGGCCGGGGUCCAGGCCGUGUGAUCUUGGGCAAGUCAGUCCCCUUCUAGGCCGUUUUCAGGUGUGCACCUUGAAGGGGCAGCAAUGAGAGGAGAUCCAGGUGUUGCCAUCUACUGCCUUCCACCUUCCACAGGUCCAGGCUGCUCUCAAAUCUGAAAUCCGCACCAGGCGUGUGUGUGUGUUUGGGGUGGUGGUGCAGAUACAGCAUCUUAUUCUUCACCUUAGAAGGGAUAGCUUGGCAUGCCCACAAGAUAGAUUUCUAGUAACUUCUCUAAGAUGAAAGGUCCCUCAAUUUUUGUUGGAUUUAGUCCACCUUCUGACAUGUGACUGCGCUGUCAAUAUGCCUAGAUGAGCUGUACUUCCUGAUCACUGGGUCCAGUCAGCCUAGUACCAUCAAUGGGAUGGGCCAGUGUGACGGCUUCUGGAAGAAAAAGGAGAUGAAGCUUCCUUCUGUCUAAAUGACAACCCAAGUCUGGAGGUCUGAUAUGCCUCUGAGAUAGUUUUCUCUCCUUGCCGGCUGAAAGCUAACUGCCCUGCUGGUCUUUACUCACAGGAAGAGAACAAAGAGCAUUUUCCUGACCAAUACUUACACACUGGGUGCUUGGGGACCAAGUGAUGAAGCCCCAUGUGCAGCAGGAACUGCAGUUUGAGACACUCUGAUUACACUGACAAUCAUUCACUGUCAUCUCCAAGAUUCGUCUGUUUUCUAAGUAGGCUAAAUGAGUGACUUCAAUAAGGGUAUGUGGAAAUCACCACCCGUUCUUCUUUCAAAUCCUUGGUGUCACCAGGCAUUACUGCUUUCAAUGUAUACAGGGAGUUCUAGAGGCUUGUACUUGCCCUGCCACACAGCAUGAACUCCUGGCCGGCACAGUCCCCCGUGUCUAGCAAGGAGGAAGCCGGGAGCUCUGCGUCCCUGACAGCUCGGCCCUGUGGCCUCUGACACUGAAGGAGCGGCACUGCGGGCACUUGGUCGGGGUGGGGGGUGCUGCUCCUGAUACCAAGACCCGGUCCUCGUCCCUGAGGUCAAACCACAAAACACAAUGACAAGGGUUUGAAGAAAGGAAAGAAUAGUUUAUUGACUUGCUAGCAAAUGAGGGAGUGGCCAGCUCCUGCCUUGAAGAACCACCGUCCUCCUGACACAAGCGGUCAGGGCUUUUCAAGGGGAAAUGGUAGGAGAGGGGCUGGGGUGCCGACACAUGAAGUAGCAGCCUGCAAAGGUCCAAGCAGACAUUCCUCCUCCGAUUCACUAGCUUUGUGUUUUUCUUUUCUGAUGCUCCUCAGUUCCCGGGGACUGGAUGCUUGGGGUUGAACAAAAUCAGCUUUCAGCUUUAACUCUGACCCUCAGACUAGGAAAAUCUGAAGAACAAGAAGAAACUGCCACCCCAUCCACCUCUGCCCAUUAGUGGACAAAGUUUCUGGGGCUGUUUGAGUUCACUUUCUAGUAAAUGUUAGUGUUCAGUUUUGAACAAA